GGCCCCCAGUCGCCGUCUACGCUUUGGCAGCCCGGGUGGAGGACGCGAGGCGCAAGCAGGGGCGGCAGGAACGAGGAUUACAUAAGAAGGGAACACGACACCGCGGGAAGUAAAACUGUUCCAGUCCUGAAAUCAUAAGACCUGAUGUGGGUCCCAUCAGUGUCAUUUACAAGCUGUGUGACCUUGACCAAUUAGCUGAAUAUCUUCGAGCCCCAAUUUUCUUCUCUUAAAAAAUGGAAGUUUUACAUUU